AGGGAAAGAGCCACAGGGGUGGGAAGAUAGCCAAGGGACCGGAGGGAAGCCAAGUUCCUUCAGACAGCCCAGAGUAGGCUGUGGCCUCCUGAGCCUUCUGCUCCACUGUCGGUGUUUACUUUAUCUCUCUAACACUAGGAGAGCGAACGCUCUGCCCGUCACCGUCCCUGCUGUGUCCUGAGUGCUAGAAGCCAGCCAGGAACCACGCCUAGAACACUCCAAAGGUACUAUUUUAACGCUGUUUCACAAGUCAAGAAACCAAGAUCAGCUACAGAGCUUGAGGGACUCGGAGCAAAAUGAAGACGACAAAUGGAAAUUAUGAGGAAUAUCAAGAUGAUGAGAGCAGAGCAUUGCACCAGGCACAAUCACAUAGGACCCAUGAAACGGGCCCUGGAGGAAACCAAGG